GAUGAACGCUGGCGGCGUGCCUAAUACAUGCAAGUCGAGCGAACGGACGAGAAGCUUGCUUCUCUGAUGUUAGCGGCGGGCGGGUGAGUAACACGUGGAUAACCUACCUAUAAGACUGGGAUAACUUCGGGAAACCGUAGCUAAUACCGGAUAAUAUUUUGAACCGCAUGGUUCAAAAGUGAAAGACGGUCUUGCUGUCACUUAUAGAUGGAUCCGCGCUGCAUUAGCUAGUUGGUAAGGUAACGGCUUACCAAGGCAACGAUGCAUAGCCGACCUGAGAGGGUGAUCGGCCACACUGGAACUGAGACACGGUCCAGACUCCUACGGGAGGCAGCAGUAGGGAAUCUUCCGCAAUGGGCGAAAGCCUGACGGAGCAACGCCGCGUGAGUGAUGAAGGUCUUCGGAUCGUAAAACUCUGUUAUUAGGGAAGAACAUAUGUGUAAGUAACUGUGCACAUCUUGACGGUACCUAAUCAGAAGGCCACGGCUAACUACGUG
rnacentral:rRNA from 1 species